AUUAAGACAUAUCAGGUGUUUGUGCCAAUUGAAGAGCUUCAGAGUGUGUUAAACAUUGAAGACGAUGCUUUACUCUUAACCCUAACCCAGUCCAGUCAUAAGUCUCUUUCAAACCAGAAUAUCUCAAAUUAGCUUUUUAAUUGCAGGUGUUACACAUUAUUUGUUUAUUUGCAAGAAUGUAUUUGGAGCCUGUAUUUUAAUAGGAAAUGUGCCUAGUAUAUUGUGUCCUUAAAUUUAUAUGCAAAUAUAUGAAAACGUACUGAUGGUAAGAAUGGGCUGUGCAGUUGAUUAUUAACAUUCCCUUGACUUGGGACAAGGUGGGUCCACAAAUUUUUACAAGAAGUGAAUGAAGUCAUCAGAAAUACAGCUUGCAGCUGUACAUCCAAAUAUGAAUUGAAGUGUUUAGUUAACAA